rnacentral:rRNA from 2 species
AAAUUGAAGAGUUUGAUCAUGGCUCAGAUUGAACGCUGGCGGCAGGCCUAACACAUGCAAGUCGAACGGUAACAGAAAGCAGCUUGCUGCUUUGCUGACGAGUGGCGGACGGGUGAGUAAUGUCUGGGAAACUGCCUGAUGGAGGGGGAUAACUACUGGAAACGGUGGCUAAUACCGCAUAACGUCGCAAGACCAAAGAGGGGGACCUUCGGGCCUCUUGCCAUCAGAUGUGCCCAGAUGGGAUUAGCUAGUUGGUGAGGUAACGGCUCACCAAGGCGACGAUCCCUAGCUGGUCUGAGAGGAUGACCAGCCACACUGGAACUGAGACACGGUCCAGACUCCUACGGGAGGCAGCAGUGGGGAAUAUUGCACAAUGGGCGCAAGCCUGAUGCAGCCAUGCCGCGUGUAUGAAGAAGGCCUUCGGGUUGUAAAGUACUUUCAGCGGGGAGGAAGGUGUUGUGGUUAAUAACCGCAGCAAUUGACGUUACCCGCAGAAGAAGCACCGGCUAACUCCGUGCCAGCAGCCGCGGUAAUACGGAGGGUGCAAGCGUUAAUCGGAAUUACUGGGCGUAAAGCGCACGCAGGCGGUCUGUCAAGUCGGAUGUGAAAUCCCCGGGCUCAACCUGGGAACUGCAUUCGAAACUGGCAGGCUUGAGUCUUGUAGAGGGGGGUAGAAUUCCAGGUGUAGCGGUGAAAUGCGUAGAGAUCUGGAGGAAUACCGGUGGCGAAGGCGGCCCCCUGGACAAAGACUGACGCUCAGGUGCGAAAGCGUGGGGAGCAAACAGGAUUAGAUACCCUGGUAGUCCACGCCGUAAACGAUGUCUACUUGGAGGCUGUGCCCUUGAGGCGUGGCUUCCGGAGCUAACGCGUUAAGUAGACCGCCUGGGGAGUACGGCCGCAAGGUUAAAACUCAAAUGAAUUGACGGGGGCCCGCACAAGCGGUGGAGCAUGUGGUUUAAUUCGAUGCAACGCGAAGAACCUUACCUGGUCUUGACAUCCACAGAAGUUUGCAGAGAUGCGAAUGUGCCUUCGGGAACUGUGAGACAGGUGCUGCAUGGCUGUCGUCAGCUCGUGUUGUGAAAUGUUGGGUUAAGUCCCGCAACGAGCGCAAC